rnacentral:tRNA from 1 species
GCCCUUGUAGCUCAGUGGUAGAGCAGCGCUUUUGUAAAGCGCUUGUCGCAAGUUCGACUCUUGUCGGGGGCU